AGACUCUGACACGUACGCACAGCUAGAUCGAAGCCCUGGUCGAGUUUAUAAAUUGAGAUAUAUCCGUCCUCCAUUCUCAGGCCAGUUCUUGCAAGACUCUUGCCGUGUUGAGACUGCAGAAACGAGAGCUAGCUAGCCAGAGGCUGCAAGAAGAUUCUGCACCCAUAGAUCGUCUACCAUGGCCACAAACCCAGGACUCUUCACGGAGUGGCCAUGGAAGAAGCUUGGCAGCUUCAAGUACGUGUUGCUGGCGCCGUGGGUAGCGCACGGGUGGUAUGAGGUGGCGACCAAGGGGUGGCGGGAGGUGGAUCUCGGGUACAUCGCCAUCCUCCCGUCGUUGCUGCUGCGGAUGCUGCACAACCAAGCCUGGAUCACCAUCUCCCGCCUCCAAAACGCCCGUGGCCGCCGCCAGAUUGUUCGCCGCGGCAUCGAGUUCGACCAGGUUGACCGCGAGAGGAACUGGGACGACCAGAUCAUCCUGAGCGGUAUCCUACUAUACCUCGGCGCACUGUACGUACCGGGCGGGCAACACUUACCGCUGUGGAGGACGGAUGGCGCGGGGCUGAUCGCCUUGCUGCAUGCGGGGCCAGUGGAGUUCCUCUACUACUGGUUCCAUCGUGCGUUGCACCACCACUUUCUCUACACCCACUACCACUCGCACCACCACUCUUCAAUCGUCACUGAGCCCAUCACAUCCGUCAUCCAUCCGUUUGCUGAGCUCGUUGCCUACGAAUUGCUCUUCUCGAUCCCACUGAUCGCCUGUGCCUUGACUGGAACUGCUUCCAUAAUUGCAUUCGAGAUGUAUUUGAUUUACAUUGAUUUCAUGAACAACAUGGGGCACUGCAACUUCGAGUUGGUACCCAGCUGGCUCUUCACAUGGUUCCCUCCUCUCAAGUAUCUCAUGUACACGCCAUCGUUUCAUUCUCUGCACCACACUCAGUUUCGGACAAACUACUCCCUUUUCAUGCCGUUCUACGAUUAUAUCUACAACACCAUGGACAAGUCAUCAGACACUCUGUAUGAGAACUCACUGAAAAACAAUGAGGAAGAAGAAGCAGUGGAUGUGGUUCACCUUACACACCUGACCACCCUGCAUUCCAUCUACCACAUGAGGCCCGGUUUCGCCGAAUUUGCGUCCAGGCCCUACGUUUCCAGGUGGUACAUGAGGAUGAUGUGGCCUCUGUCAUGGCUCUCCAUGGUGCUGACAUGGACGUACGGUUCUUCAUUCACUGUUGAGAGGAAUGUCAUGAAGAAGAUCAGGAUGCAGUCAUGGGCCAUACCAAGAUACAGUUUCCAUUAUGGAUUGGAUUGGGAGAAGGAAGCUAUCAAUGAUCUUAUCGAAAAGGCGGUAUGUGAAGCUGACAAGAAUGGGGCUAAAGUUGUAAGCCUUGGACUCCUGAAUCAGGCACAUACCCUGAAUAAAAGUGGAGAACAAUAUCUGCUGAAAUACCCAAAGUUGGGAGCAAGAAUUGUCGAUGGAACCAGCUUAGCUGCUGCAGUGGUUGUCAACAGUAUCCCCCAAGGCACAGACCAAGUAAUUCUUGCAGGAAAUGUUUCCAAGGUGGCGCGUGCUGUAGCGCAAGCAUUAUGCAAGAAAAAUAUCAAAGUCACGAUGACAAACAAGCAAGAUUAUCAUUUACUCAAGCCAGAAAUACCAGAAACUGUAGCUGACAAUCUUUCGUUUUCGAAAACAGGCACCGCAAAGGUUUGGUUAAUUGGUGAUGGUCUAGAUUCUGCUGAACAAUUCAGAGCACAGAAAGGAACUCUGUUUAUCCCAUACUCACAAUUUCCUCCAAAGAUGGUACGCAAGGACAGCUGCAGCUACUCGACAACUCCUGCAAUGGCUGUACCAAAAACGCUGCAGAAUGUGCAUUCAUGCGAGAAUUGGCUGCCAAGGAGGGUUAUGAGCGCAUGGCGAAUCGCGGGAAUUCUUCAUGCGUUGGAGGGAUGGAAUGAGCAUGAAUGUGGUGACAAGGUGCUUGAUAUGGACAAAGUUUGGUCUGCUGCAAUUAUGCAUGGGUUCUGCCCAGUUGCUCAAGGUUGAUGAUUCAGUUGCAAAGUAUCAGAAUAAGUUUUAGCUGGAUUAUGCUAUGUGGUCACCGUAUCAGAAAGAGAGAUGUUCUGUUGGCAAGAAGAGAUAUAGUAUCUGAGUAAUUUCAUCUGCCAUGGUUUUUAAAACAUUGUUCAUCAUCUCCUUUGAUCAAAGACUGGCCAUGGCUACUUUCUGUAUAAGUAUCUGUCCUUUUUAGUCCAUAGUGUAAUUCAGCAACAAAACACUCUUGGCAUUGUUAUGCAGUCUCAUGAAUGUUUUUCCAGCAUACGGAAUUACGGAUCAACUCAUGAAUGCUUUGGGGUUCUAUGAGCCUAGCUUUCCGAA